UCUCCGUUGGUGGACCAGCGGAGGGAUCAUUACCGAGUUUACAACUCCCAAACCCAAUGUGAACGUUACCAAACUGUUGCCUCGGCGGGAUCUCUGCCCCGGGUGCGUCGCAGCCCCGGACCAAGGCGCCCGCCGGAGGACCAACCAAAACUCUUUUUGUAUACCCCCUCGCGGGUUUUUUAUAAUCUGAGCCUUCUCGGCGCCUCUCGUAGGCGUUUCGAAAAUGAAUCAAAACUUUCAACAACGGAUCUCUUGGUUCUG
rnacentral:misc_RNA from 1 species